GAUGAACGCUAGCGGCAGGCCUAAUACAUGCAAGUCGAACGGACCUUGAUCUUUCGGGAUCUUGGUUAGUGGCGCACGGGUGCGUAACGCGUAUGCAACCUACCUUCCACUGGGGGGAUAGCCCGCCGAAAAGGCGGGAUUAAUACCGCAUAUGACCACUGAGAGGGCAUCCGAUCGUGGUAAAAGCUGAGGCGGUGGAAGAUGGGCAUGCGUGCCAUUAGCUAGUUGGCGGGGUAAAGGCCCACCAAGGCGACGAUGGCUAGGGGUUCUGAGAGGAUGGUCCCCCACACUGGUACUGAGACACGGACCAGACUCCUACGGGAGGCAGCAGUAGGGAAUAUUGGGCAAUGGCCGAGAGGCUGACCCAGCCAUGCCGCGUGCAGGAAGAAGGCCUUCUGGGUUGUAAACUGCUUUUACCAAGGAAGAAAACGCCCCUGCGGGGGUAACUGACGGUACUUGGUGAAUAAGCACCGGCUAACUCCGUG
rnacentral:rRNA from 1 species